AGUGAACGCUGGCGGUAUGCCUAACACAUGCAAGUCGAACGGCAGCACAGUAAGAGCUUGCUCUUACGGGUGGCGAGUGGCGGACGGGUGAGGAAUACAUCGGAAUCUACUUUUUCGUGGGGGAUAACGUAGGGAAACUUACGCUAAUACCGCAUACGACCUACGGGUGAAAGCAGGGGAUCUUCGGACCUUGCGCGAUUGAAUGAGCCGAUGUCGGAUUAGCUAGUUGGCGGGGUAAAGGCCCACCAAGGCGACGAUCCGUAGCUGGUCUGAGAGGAUGAUCAGCCACACUGGAACUGAGACACGGUCCAGACUCCUACGGGAGGCAGCAGUGGGGAAUAUUGGACAAUGGGCGCAAGCCUGAUCCAGCCAUACCGCGUGAGUGAAGAAGGCCUUCGGGUUGUAAAGCCCUUUUGUUGGGAAAGAAAAGCAGCAGGUUAAUACCCCGCUGUUCUGACGGUACCCAAAGAAUAAGCACCGGCUAACUUCGUG
rnacentral:rRNA from 1 species